rnacentral:rRNA from 1 species
UACGUAGGGGGCGAGCGUUGUCCGGAAUGAUUGGGCGUAAAGGGCGCGCAGGCGGCCUGUCAAGUCAGUAGUGGAAGUCCAUUUUUCAAGGAUGGAAGUGCUAUAGAAACUGAUGGGCUUGAGUGCAGGAGAGGUUAUCGGAAUUCCCGGUGUAGCGGUGAAAUGCGUAGAGAUCGGGAGGAACACCAGUGGCGAAGGCGGGUAACUGGACUGCAACUGACGCUGAGGCGCGAAAGUGUGGGGAGCAAACAGGAUUAGAUACCCGCGUA